AUACGGAGGAUGCGAGCGUUAUCCGGAUUUAUUGGGCUUAAAGGGUGCGUAGGCUGUGCGUUAAGUCAGGGGUGAAAUGCCGUGGCUUCACGACGGAGCUGCCCUUGAUACUGGCGUGCUGGAGUACGGAUGCCGUUGGAGGAAUGCGAGGUGUAGCGGGGAAAUGCUUAGAUAUCACUAAGAAAACCGAUUGCGAAGGCAUCUGGGGAGUCCGUCACGGACGCUGAGGCACGAAAGCGUGGGGAAAGAAAAGGAUUAGAUUCCUUGGUGUUCCACGCCGUAAACGAUGAUGACUAACCGUCGGCGAUAGACAGCCGGUGGCCAAGCGAAAGCGAUAAGUCAUCCACCUGGGGAGUACGUCGGCAACGAUGAAACUCAAAGGAAUUGACGGGG
rnacentral:rRNA from 1 species